ensembl:snRNA U6 U6 spliceosomal RNA
GCUCAUGCUGGGAGGACAUAUAUUAAAACUGGAAGGACACAGAGAUUAGCAUGGCCCCUGUACAAGGUGACACACAAAUUCAUGGAACAUUCCAUAUUUCU